rnacentral:rRNA from 1 species
UGGUCUUAGCUUGCUAAGGCUGAUGGCGACCGGCGCACGGGUGAGUAACACGUAUCCAACCUGCCGUCUACUCUUGGCCAGCCUUCUGAAAGGAAGAUUAAUCCAGGAUGGGAUCAUGAGUUCACAUGUCCGCAUGAUUAAAGGUAUUUUCCGGUUAGACGAUGGGGAUGCGUUCCAUUAGAUAGUAGGCGGGGUAACGGGCCCACCAAGCCUUCGAUGGAUAGGGGUUCGUGAGAGGAAGGUCCCCACCAUUGGAACUGAGACACGGUCCAAACUCC